AGCGGCGGACGGGUGAGUAACACGUGGACAAUCUGCCCCCCGGUCCGGGAUAGCCCAGGGAAACCUGGAUUAAUACCGGAUGAGACGGGACCCGCGGAGGCGGGAUCCGGGAAAGGCGCUGCGGCGCCGCCGGGGGAUGAGUCUGCGUCCCAUUAGCUAGACGGCGGGGUAACGGCCCACCGUGGCGACGAUGGGUAGCCGGCCUGAGAGGGUGGACGGCCACAUUGGAACUGAGACACGGUCCAGACUCCUACGGGAGGCAGCAGCUAAGAAUCUUCCGCAAUGGGCGAAAGCCUGACGGAGCGACGCCGCGUGAACGAAGAAGGCCGUGAGGUUGUAAAGUUCUUUUCGGGAGGGGGAACAACCGUGGCAGGGAAUGGCCGCGGGAUGACGUGAAUCCCGGAAUAAGCCCCGGCUAACUACGUGCCAGCAGCCGCGGUAACACGUAGGGGGCGAGCGUUGUUCGGAAUCAUUGGGCGUAAAGGGCGUGCAGGCGGUCCUGCAAGUCCGGCGUGAAAGACCCCGGCCCAACCGGGGGGACGCGCUG
rnacentral:rRNA from 1 species